AUUGAACGCUGGCGGCAGGCCUAACACAUGCAAGUCGAGCGGAGCGGCGGACGGGUGAGGAAUGCCUAGGAAUCUGACUGGGCGUGGGGGAUAACGUCCGGAAACGGGCGCUAAUACCGCAUACUAUCAGAUGAGCCUAGGGCGGAUUAGCUUGUGGGGGGGGUAAAGGCCUACCAGGGCGACGAUCCGUAACUGGUCUGAGAGGAUGAUCAGUCACACUGGAACUGAGACACGGUCCAGACUCCUACGGGAGGCAGCAGUGGGGAAUAUUGCACAAGGGGCGCAAGCCUGAUGCAGCCAUGCCGCGUGUAUGAAGAAGGCCUUCGGGUUGUAAAGGACUUUCAGCGGGGAGGCGUUACCCGCAGAAGAAGCACCGGCUAACUCCGUGCCAGCAGCCGCGGUAAUUC
rnacentral:rRNA from 1 species